ensembl:lncRNA
UUCAUUUAUGGAGGCUGUUGAGUCUGAAUGUUGGAUGUUGUGUAUCUCGUGUUCUCUGGGCUUUGUUGUCCUCAGUCUUUUUGCAGGAUCAGGAAACAAAACCAGGAGACCUGUAAAUGUUUCUUCUCCAGUUGGAUGAUGAUAAGACUGUGACACGGGAUGCCACCUUUGGUCUUGUGAUGAAGCAAAGCUCAGGAAGAAGUGUGAUUAAAUGGUACCCACAUGUGUGCUGCUGAGAAGGAUGUACAGGGGCACCUGCAGCCAAAUCCAAGCCUCCUCAGCAACUUCAGGUCUGUCAGCGUGCUGAGGUCACAGAAACAAGAAAAGCAGCUUCAGACUUCAGAGUGUUGUUUACAGUUUUCUGUCAUCAUGAUCUCCCCUGAAGUUUAUCACUAUUAUACAAGCAAGCAGAGCGGCAGUUUGUGCUCACAGAUGGUGACGGUGUGGAGAGACGGUGGUGUUUCCUCAGAAGAACCAGUCACAAAGAGUCCAUCUCACCACCUUGACUUGCUGACUGAUGCUCGUCUGCACUGCACAGAGGAAAUCAACUGACCGAGGAGUGUUUCUGGGUGAGGGAGAGAGGAGUCAUCAUCCAGGUAAAGUGACGUGGAUCAGUGGAUACACUUGUCUCCCCUUUAAAGGAGAUACUCUUAGAGAGAGACGAUCCGAGUCAUCCUUAAAUAUGGGAAGGAUAUCACUAUUAGACUGUCUAACCUGCCGGAGCAGCACUGAAUGAUCACCACACAUGAGCAUGUUCCUGCAACAUUCAGCAGCUUUGCUUUUGCUGGAGAGGAAACUACACCAGUGUACUGGGAUGUUUCACCAACACGUGCCAGACGCUGUAACUUCAUGGUGACAUCACCAGAGACAGCCCCGCCCACCUCAGGACCUCGCCAUUGAUCAUGAUGAUUAUAAUGAUGACAGCGAGCGGAACUAAGACUGUAAAAAUCCACGACCAGAAUGUUUAGAUGCUUUCUAAUUAUUCAUGAAUACUGAGAGCCUCUUUCUGUGUUUUGUCUGUUUUUUUUGUUUGUUUUUUUUACCUUAUUUGUUACUAACAAACUCACACUGUUUACAUUUACAUGUAUGUUUCCAUCUUUACCAGCCACACUCUGCCUGCAUUUAGAAAACAAACCUUAGAAAUCGUCGUUUUUCUCUUUUGUAAUUCAGUGAAUAUACUGCGCUGCUUCCUUUUAUUGCGUCAAACAUUGCUUUAAGUUUUUCAGUAUCCAGUUAUUUUUUACUGCUGUUUGAAUUCUCUGCAUGUUUGACCCUGUAGACUGUUUGAUGGACUGCUUGUCUUCCUGUUUGUAACCGCCGCCUG